UCGACAGGCUUAACUCAUGCAAGUCGAGGGGCAGCACAGGUAGCAAUACCGGGUGGCGACCGGCGCACGGGUGAGUAACGCGUAUGCAACUUACCUAUCAGAGGGGGAUAACCCGGCGAAGGUCGGACUAAUACCGCAUGAAGCAGGGGCCCCGCAUGGGGAUAUUUGCUAAAGAUUCAUCGCUGAUAGAUAGGCAUGCGUUCCAUUAGGCAGUUGGCGGGGUAACGGCCCACCAAACCGACGAUGGAUAGGGGUUCUGAGAGGAAGGUCCCCCACAUUGGUACUGAGACACGGACCAAACUCCUACGGGAGGCAGCAGUGAGGAAUAUUGGUCAAUGGCCGAGAGGCUGAACCAGCCAAGUCGCGUGAGGGAUGAAGGUUCUAUGGAUCGUAAACCUCUUUUAUAAGGGAAUAAAGUGCGGGACGUGUCCCGUUUUGUAUGUACCUUAUGAAUAAGGAUCGGCUAACUCCGUGCCAGCAGCCGCGGUAAUACGGAGGAUCCGAGCGUUAUCCGGAUUUAUUGGGUUUAAAGGGUGCGUAGGCGGCCUUUUAAGUCAGCGGUGAAAGUCUGUGGCUCAACCAUAGAAUUGCCGUUGAAACUGGGGGGCUUGAGUAUGUUUGAGGCAGGCGGAAUGCGUGGUGUAGCGGUGAAAUGCAUAGAUAUCACGCAGAACCCCGAUUGCGAAGGCAGCCUGCCAAGCCAUUACUGACGCUGAUGCACGAAAGCGUGUGGAUCAAACAGGAUUAGAUACCCUGGUAGUCCACGCAGUAAACGAUGAUCACUAGCUGUUUGCGAUACACUGUAAGCGGCACAGCGAAAGCGUUAAGUGAUCCACCUGGGGAGUACGCCGGCAACGGUGAAACUCAAAGGAACUGACGGGGGCCCGCACAAGCGGAGGAACAUGUGGUUUAAUUCGAUGAUACGCGAGGAACCUUACCCGGGUUUGAACGCAUUCGGACCGAGGUGGAAACACCUUUUCUAGCAAUAGCCGUUUGCGAGGUGCUGCAUGGUUGUCGUCAGCUCGUGCCGUGAGGUGUCGGCUUAAGUGCCAUAACGAGCGCAACCCUUGCCACUAGUUACUAACAGGUGAUGCUGAGGACUCUGGUGGGACUGCCAGCGUAAGCUGCGAGGAAGGCGGGGAUGACGUCAAAUCAGCACGGCCCUUACAUCCGGGGCGACACACGUGUUACAAUGGCGUGGACAAAGGGAGGCCACCUGGCGACAGGGAGCGAAUCCCCAAACCACGUCUCAGUUCGGAUCGGAGUCUGCAACCCGACUCCGUGAAGCUGGAUUCGCUAGUAAUCGCGCAUCAGCCAUGGCGCGGUGAAUACGUUCCCGGGCCUUGUACACACCGCCCGUCAAGCCAUGGGAGCCGGGGGUACCUGAAGUCCGUAACCGAAAGGAUCGGCCUAGGGUAAAACUGGUGACUG
rnacentral:rRNA from 1 species